rnacentral:lncRNA from 1 species
AAAUAACUUGUCCAAACCGAAGAAACAGCUGAGCAUCAGAAGCACUCAUGGAAGAGCAAUUGACAGAAUGAGGAGUCUUGAGAUUUGCAUACUCAUCGACGUAGCACGAACCAGCCAGCGUUGCUGAGGUGUCUGUCGCAGCAGGUGGUUGUUCCGACAACAUGAAGCUGCCGAGGACACGAGUCACUUGGUGCAUUGUGGGUCGAUCAUUAGGUUGUCUUUUGGUGCAUAGAAGUGCCAGUUGGAAAACUUUCUUCACCACACCGAGAUCCUUACACGUCGAUGUGAUGUCUGGAUCUGCCAUCUCCAUCACUUCAUUGUUCCCCGUCUUUGACAUUAUCUAAUGUGCAAGUGAAUCAAUGAAAACAAGAUUACAACACAAAAAACUUACCGAACCAAGCCGAAGUUCCUCAGAUCGAAACUAAAACAUUACAACAUUUUCAUGCUAAAUGUCGAACCAAAUCAGAAAAUACUUUUAACCAAACACAAAAAUUUACGGGUGUUUAAUUCAGAUAAACCGAUUCAAGCCAAAAUACUUGAUCCGAAAAUCGAAUCCAAAUCCAAACCAAACCAUAAAAGAAAACACCAAUGUAUAACCACCAAAGCUUCUUUGGAACAUAAUGAUAUAUUAGACUCAACCAAAAACCCGAAAAAUUAUAACAAGAAAACAGAUUGGCAUGCUGAGAGAAAGAGAGGCAAGAAAGGACAAACCAGAUGGUGGAGAUUGGAUUCGUCAUCGACGGCUUUCCUUCGGGUUAACAACUCAAGCAGCACUAUUCCAUAACUGUAGACAUCGGAUUUCUCAGUGAGACGUGAAGUGCGAGCAUACUCGGGGUCUAUGUAACCAAUCGUGCCCAUUACGUAAGUUGAAGUAUGUGACUUUGACACACACAAGCUUUUCGCGAUUCCGAAAUCUGUUAAACGAGCCUCUAAGUCUUUGUCCAAGAGAAUGUUGGACGACUUAACGUCUCUGUGAAUGAUCCUUGGACUACAGUCAUGGUGUAGAUAAGCUAAACCUUGUGCUGCACCAUAUGCUAUCUUAAGCCGUGUGUCCCAAUCAAGAGUCUUUUUCUUCGUAGGGCCUUUACAAACACACAAGAAAAUAUGUUAUGUAACAGAAGAAACAAAUGAAGUUUGUUUUUAGGGCAAUGAGACUUACCGUGAAGAAGAUCCCAGAGGCUACCAUUUUCCAAAUAGUCAUAGAACAGGAGACUCCCCAAUGGAGAGAGAGAAUAGGCUUGUAGGCUCACAAGAUUUCUGUGCUUGAUGCUACUUAGCAUCUCGAGUUCGGUCUCAAAUUGUUUCAUUGACUGUGGGUUGUGAGAGUAAAGCCGCUUAAUUGCUACCGGUUUGCAGUUCUUCAAAAC